AAAAACGUAUUAGUAGCUUAUAUGCCAUGGGAAGGUUACAAUUUGAAGACGCAGUACUAAUUAGCGAACGUUUGGUAUAUGAGGAUAUUUAUACCUCUUUUCACAUCCGGAAAUAUGAAAUUCAGACGGAUACGACAAGCCAGGGCUCCGCUGAAAAAUCACUAAAGAAAUACCACAUCUAGAAGAACAUUUACUCCGCAAUUUGGACAAAAAUGGAGUUGUUAGGUUGGGAUCCUGGGUAGAAACUGGUGAUAUUUUAGUAGGUAAAUUAACGCCUCAGAUAGCGAGCGAAUCAUCAUAUAUCGCAGAAGCUGGAUUAUUACGGGCCAUAUUCGGCCUUGAGGUUUCCACUUCAAAAGAAACUUCUCUGAAAUUACCUAUAGGUGGAAGAGGGCGCGUUAUCGAUGUGAAAUGGAUCCAAAGGGACCCCCUCGACAUAAUGGUUCGUGUAUAUAUUUUACAGAAACGUGAAAUCAAAGUUGGGGAUAAAGUAGCCGGAAGACAUGGGAAUAAAGGGAUCAUUUCCAAAAUUUUGCCUAGGCAAGAUAUGCCCUAUUUGCAAGAUGGAACACCCGUUGAUAUGGUCUUCAAUCCCUUAGGAGUACCCUCCCGAAUGAAUGUGGGACAAAUAUUUGAAAGCUCGCUCGGAUUAGCGGGGGAUCUGCUAAAGAAACAUUAUAGAAUAGCACCCUUUGAUGAGAGAUAUGAGCAAGAGGCUUCAAGAAAACUUGUGUUUUCAGAAUUAUAUGAAGCCAGUAAAGAAACAAAAAAUCCAUGGGUAUUUGAACCCGAGUACCCGGGAAAAAGCAGAAUAUUUGAUGGAAGAACAGGCGACCCCUUUGAGCAACCUGUUCUAAUAGGGAAGUCCUAUAUCUUAAAAUUAAUUCAUCAAGUUGAUGAGAAAAUUCAUGGGCGUUCUACUGGGCCCUACUCACUUGUUACACAACAACCGGUUAGAGGAAGAGCCAAGCAAGGGGGACAACGAGUAGGAGAAAUGGAAGUUUGGGCUUUAGAAGGAUUUGGUGUUGCUCAUAUUUUACAAGAGAUACUUACUUAUAAAUCUGACCAUCUUAUAGCUCGCCAAGAAAUACUUAAUGCUACGAUCUGGGGAAAAAGAAUACCUAAUCAUGAGGAUCCUCCAGAAUCUUUUCGAGUGCUCGUUCGAGAACUACGAUCUUUGGCUCUAGAACUGAAUCAUUUCCUUGUAUCUGAAAAGAACUUCCAGGUUAAUAGGGAGGAAGUUUGAUCGGAAUAAAUAUAAAUUCUUUUCUUAUUUCUAUUUUAUGAUUGACCAAUAUAAACAUCAACAACUUCAAAUUGGACUCGUUUCCCCUCAACAAAUAAAGGCUUGGGCUAACAAAAACCUACCUAAUGGAGAAGCCGUUGGCGAAGUCACAAGGCCCUCUACUUUUCAUUAUAAAACCGAUAAACCAGAAAAAGAUGGAUUGUUUUGCGAAAGAAUCUUUGGACCCAUAAAAAGCGGGAUUUGCGGUUGUGGCAAUUCUCGAGCGAGCGGAGCUGAAAACGAAGACGAAAGAUUUUGCCAAAAAUGCGGGGUAGAAUUUGUGGAUUCUCGGAUACGAAGAUAUCAAAUGGGAUACAUCAAACUCGCAUGUCCCGUGACUCAUGUGUGGUAUUUGAAAGGUCUUCCUAGUUAUAUCGCGAAUCUUUUAGAUAAACCUCUUAAGAAGUUGGAGGGCCUAGUAUACGGCGAUUUCUCUUUUGCUAGGCCCAGCACUAAAAAACCCACUUUUUUACGAUUACGAGGUUUAUUCGAAGAGGAAAUUGCAUCCUGUAACCACAGCAUUUCUCCCUUUUUUUCUACCCCAGGCUUUGCAACAUUUCGAAAUCGGGAAAUUGCGACAGGAGCAGGUGCUAUUAGAGAACAAUUAGCAGAUUUGGAUUUGCGAAUUAUUAUAGAGAAUUCUUUGGUCGAAUGGAAGGAAUUAGAAGACGAGGGGUAUAGUGGAGAUGAGUGGGAAGAUAGAAAAAGACGAAUAAGAAAAGUUUUUUUGAUUAGACGCAUGCAAUUGGCGAAACAUUUUAUUCAAACAAAUGUAGAACCAGAAUGGAUGGUUUUGUGCUUAUUACCGGUUCUUCCUCCCGAAUUGAGACCUAUUGUUUAUAGGUCUGGAGAUAAAGUAGUGACUUCAGACAUUAAUGAACUUUAUAAGAGAGUUAUCCGUCGGAACAACAAUCUUGCCUAUCUAUUAAAAAGAAGUGAAUUAGCGCCAGCAGAUUUAGUAAUGUGCCAGGAAAAAUUGGUACAAGAAGCCGUGGAUACACUUCUUGAUAGUGGGUCCCGCGGGCAACCGACGAGGGAUGGUCACAAUAAAGUAUACAAAUCACUUUCAGAUGUAAUUGAAGGUAAAGAGGGAAGGUUUCGCGAGACUCUGCUUGGGAAACGGGUCGAUUACUCGGGGCGUUCUGUCAUUGUUGUGGGUCCUUCGCUUUCAUUACAUCAAUGUGGAUUACCUCUAGAGAUAGCAAUAAAGCUUUUUCAGCUAUUUGUAAUUCGCGAUUUAAUCACGAAACGCGCCACUUCUAAUGUCAGGAUUGCUAAAAGGAAAAUUUGGGAAAAGGAACCCAUUGUAUGGGAAAUACUUCAAGAAGUUAUGCGGGGACAUCCUGUACUGUUAAAUAGAGCACCUACUCUGCAUAGAUUAGGCAUACAGGCCUUUCAACCCACUUUAGUAGAGGGGCGUACUAUUUCUUUACACCCAUUAGUGUGUAAGGGUUUCAAUGCAGACUUUGAUGGAGAUCAAAUGGCUGUUCAUCUACCUUUAUCCUUGGAAGCUCAGGCGGAAGCCCGUUUACUUAUGUUUUCUCAUAUGAAUCUCUUAUCUCCUGCUAUUGGGGAUCCUAUUUGCGUACCAACCCAAGACAUGCUUAUCGGGCUUUAUGUAUUAACAAUUGGAAAGCGUCGAGGUAUUUGUGCAAAUAGAUAUAAUAGUUUCAGAAACUAUCCAAAUUUAAAAGUCAAUUACAAUAAUAAUAAUUCUAAGUAUAGGAAAGAUAAAGAACCCCAUUUUUCUAGUUCUUAUGAUGCACUGGGAGCUUAUAGACAAAAACUAAUCAGUUUAGAUAGUCCCUUGUGGCUACGAUGGAACCUGGAUCAACGCGUCAUUGGGUCAAGAGAAGUUCCGAUUGAAAUUCAAUAUGAAUCUUUGGGGACUUAUCAUGAGAUUUAUGCUCACUAUCUAAUAAUGGGAAAUAGAAAAAAAGAAAUUCGUUCGAUAUACAUUCGAACCACUCUUGGUCAUAUUUCUUUUUAUAGAGAAAUAGAGGAAGCCGUACAAGGAUUUAGUCAGGCCUAUUCAUACACUACCUAAACAAGAAAGUUAGAUUCGGCGAUGCCCCUCCCCUUUGCUUUCGGGGGGCAUUCCGAUUUCCCUAGUAUCAUCAUUAUUUGCCACGCGAAUCCAGAUUGAGAUUGAGGCAAUUAAGUUAAUUAAAUUUUCGAAUCACUGACUCAGGCCCAUUGUCGAAUCCUACUCAGCAAUUGUCGAAUCCUACUCAGCCGAAAAGGGGGUACUUAUGUAUGGCGGAACGGGCCAAUCUGGUCUUUCAUAAUAAAGAGAUAGACGGAACUGGUAUGAAACGACUUAUUAGCAGAUUAAUAGAUCAUUUUGGAAUGGGAUAUACAUCCCAUAUACUGGAUCAACUAAAGACUCUGGGCUUCUAUCAAGCCACUACUACAUCGAUUUCGUUAGGAAUCGAGGAUCUUUUAACAAUACCCUCUAAGGGAUGGUUAGUCCAAGACGCGGAACAACAGAGUUUUCUUUUGGAGAAACACUAUUAUUAUGGGGCUGUACACGCGGUAGAAAAAUUACGCCAAUCUGUUGAGAUAUGGUAUGCGACAAGUGAAUAUUUGAAACAAGAAAUGAAUUCAAAUUUUCGGAUAACGGAUCCUUCUAAUCCAGUCUAUCUAAUGUCUUUUUCAGGAGCCAGAGGAAAUGCAUCUCAAGUACACCAAUUAGUAGGUAUGAGAGGAUUAAUGUCGGACCCUCAAGGACAAAUGAUUGAUUUACCUAUUCAAAGCAAUUUACGCGAGGGACUUUCUUUGACAGAAUAUAUAAUUUCCUGCUAUGGAGCCCGCAAAGGGGUUGUAGAUACUGCUGUACGAACAGCAGAUGCUGGAUAUCUUACACGUAGACUUGUUGAAGUAGUUCAACAUAUUAUUGUGCGUAGAAGAGAUUGUGGUACUAUCCGAGGUAUUUCUGUAAGUCCUCAAAAUGGGAUGACGGAAAAACUUUUUGUCCAAACACUAAUUGGUCGUGUAUUAGCAGACGAUAUAUAUAUCGGUUCACGAUGCAUUGCCGCGCGAAAUCAAGAUAUUGGAAUUGGAUUAGUCAAUCGAUUCAUAACUGCCUUUCGAGCACAACCAUUUCGAGCACAACCAAUAUAUAUUAGAACCCCCUUUACUUGCCGAAGCACUUCUUGGAUCUGUCAAUUAUGCUAUGGCCGGAGUCCUACUCAUAGUGAUCUGGUGGAAUUGGGAGAAGCCGUAGGUAUUAUUGCGGGUCAAUCAAUUGGGGAGCCAGGGACUCAACUAACAUUAAGAACUUUUCAUACUGGCGGAGUAUUCACAGGGGGUACUGCCGACCUUGUACGAUCCCCUUCGAAUGGAAAAAUCCAAUUCAAUGAGAAUUUGGUUCACCCCACACGUACCCGUCAUGGACAGCCUGCUUUUCUAUGUUAUAUAGACUUGCAUGUAACUAUUCAGAGUCAAGAUAUUCUAUAUAGUGUGAAUAUUCCCUCAAAAAGCUUGAUUCUAGUGCAAAAUGAUCAAUAUGUAAAAUCUGAACAAGUAAUUGCGGAGAUUCGUGCCGGAACGUCCACUUUACAUUUUAAAGAAAGGGUACAAAAGCAUAUUUAUUCUGAAUCAGACGGCGAAAUGCACUGGAGUACUGAUGUUUACCAUGCGCCCGAAUAUCAAUAUGGUAAUCUUCGUCGAUUACCAAAAACAAGCCAUUUAUGGAUAUUAUCCGUAAGUAUGUGCAGAUCCAGUAUAGCGUCUUUUUCACUCCACAAGGAUCAAGAUCAAAUGAAUACUUAUGGUAAAAAAGAUAGGGAAAUUCUUGAUUAUUCAACGUCGGAUCGAAUCAUGUCCAAUGGCCAUUGGAAUUUGAUCUAUCCUUCUAUUUUUCAAGAUAAUUCAGAUUUGUUGGCGAAAAAGCGAAGAAAUAGGUUCGUCAUUCCAUUACAAUAUCAUCAAGAACAAGAGAAAGAACUAAUAUCCUGUUUUGGGAUUUCGAUUGAAAUCCCCUUUAUGGGUGUUUUACGUAGAAAUACUAUUUUUGCUUAUUUUGACGAUCCCCGAUACAGAAAAGAUAAAAAGGGUUCAGGAAUUGUUAAAUUUAGAUAUAGGACCCUAGAAGAAGAAUAUAGGACUCGAGCGGAAGACUCAGAAGAGGAAUAUGAGACCCUAGAACACGAAUACAGGACCCGAGAGGACGAAUAUGAAACCCUAGAAGAAUCUAAAUAUGGAAUCCUAGAAGACGAAUACGAAUAUGAAACCCUAGAAAACGAAUAUGGGAGCCCAGAAAACAAAUAUGGGAACCCAGAGAACGAAUAUAGGACUUUAGAGAAAGACUCAGAAGAGGAAUAUGGGAACCCAGAGAGCAAAUAUAGGACCCAAGAGGACGAAUAUGGAACUUUAGAAGAAGACUCAGAAGACGAAUAUGGCAGCCCCGGGGAAAGCGGCGAGGAAAAAUAUGGUACUUUAGAGGAAGACUCAGAAGAAGACUCAGAGGACGAAUACGAGAGCCCAGAGGAAGAUUCCAUCUUAAAAAAAGAGGGUUUGAUUGAGCAUCGAGGAACAAAAGAAUUUAGUCUAAAAUACCAAAAAGAAGUAGAUCGGUUUUUUUUCAUUCUUCAAGAACUUCAUAUCUUGCCGAGAUCUUCAUCCCUAAAGAUACUUGACAAUAGUAUUAUUGGAGUGGAUACACAACUCACAAAAAAUACAAGAAGUGGACUAGGCGGACUGGUCCGAGUGAAGAGAAAAAAAAGCCAUACGGAACUCAAAAUAUUUUCCGGAGAUAUUCAUUUUCCUGAAGAGGCAGAUAAGAUAUUAGGUGGGUGUUUGAUACCGCCAGAAAGACAAAAAAAAGAUUCUAAGGAAUCAAAAAAAAAGAAAAAUUGGGUCUAUGUUCAACGGAAAAAAAUUCUCAAGAGCAAGGAAAAGUAUUUUGUUUCCGUUCGCCCUACAGUGGCAUAUGAAAUGGACGAAGGAAGAAAUUUAGCAACACUUUUCCCGCAGGAUCUCUUGCAAGAAGAAAAUAAUCUCCAAAUUCGACUUGUCAAUUUUAUUUAUCAUGAAAAUAGCAAGUUAACUCAAAGAAUUUAUCACACAAAUAGUCAAUUUGUUAGAACUUGCUUAGUAGUGAAUUGGGAACAAGAAGAAAAAGAAAAGGCUGGUGCUUCCCUUGUUGAGGUAAGAGCAAAUGAUCUUAUUCGCGAUUUCCUAAGAAUUGAGUUAGUCAAGUCCACUAUUUCGUAUACACGAAAAAGGUAUGAUAGGACAAGUGGAGGACCGACUCCCCAUAAUAGGUUAGAUCGCGCCAAUAGCAAUUCUUUUUAUUCCAAGGCGAAGAUUGAAUCACUUAGCCAACAUCAAGAAGCUAUUGGCACUUUGUUGAAUCGAAAUAAAGAAUACCAAUCUUUGAUGAUUUUGUCGGCAUCCAACUGUUCUCGAAUUGGUUUAUUCAAGAAUUCAAAACAUCCCAAUGCGAUAAAAGAAUGGAAUCCUAGAAUUCCUAUUCUAGAAAUUUUUGGGCCCUUAGGGGCUAUUGUAGCUAGUAUAUCGCAUUUUUCUUCAUCUUACUAUUUACUAACGCAUAAUAAAAUCCUGCUAAAAAAAUAUUUGUUCGUUGACAAUUUGAAACAAACCUUCCAAGUACUUCAAGAACUUAAAUACUCUUUAAUAGAUGAAAAUAAAAGGAUUUCCAAUUUCGAUAGUAACAUAAUGUUGGAUCCAUUCCUUUUGAAUUGUCACUUUGUCCAUCAUGAUUCUUGGGAAGAGACAUUGGCAAUAAUUCACCUUGGACAAUUUAUUUGUGAAAAUGUAUGUCUAUUUAAAUCGCACAUAAAAAAAUCUGGUCAAAUUUUCAGUGUAAAUAUGGAUUCCUUUGUUAUAAGAGCAGCUAAACCUUAUUUGGCCACUACAGGAGCAACUGUUAAUGGUCAUUAUGGAGAAAUCCUUUACAAGGGAGAUAGGUUAGUUACGUUUAUAUAUGAAAAAUCGAGAUCUAGUGACAUAACGCAAGGUCUUCCAAAAGUGGAACAAAUCUUUGAAGCGCGUUCAAUUGAUUCAUUAUCCCCCAAUCUCGAAAGGAGAAUUGAGGAUUGGAAUGAGCGUAUACCAAGAAUUCUUGGGGUCCCUUGGGGAUUCUUGAUUGGAGCUGAGCUAACCAUAGCCCAAAGUCGUAUUUCUUUGGUUAAUAAAAUCCAAAAGGUUUAUCGAUCCCAAGGGGUACAGAUCCAUAAUAGACAUAUAGAGAUUAUUAUACGCCAAGUAACAUCAAAAGUGCGGGUUUCCGAAGAUGGAAUGUCUAAUGUUUUUUCGCCUGGGGAAUUAAUCGGACUAUUGCGAGCGGAACGAGCAGGGCGAGCUUUGGAUGAAUCGAUCUAUUAUCGGGCAAUCUUAUUGGGAAUAACAAGGGCUUCCCUGAAUACCCAAAGUUUCAUAUCUGAAGCAAGUUUUCAAGAAACUGCUCGAGUUUUAGCAAAAGCUGCCCUACGAGGUCGCAUUGAUUGGUUGAAAGGCUUGAAAGAAAACGUAGUUCUGGGGGGGAUUAUACCUGUUGGUACCGGAUUCCAAAAAUUUGUGCAUCGUUCCCCACAAGACAAGAACCUUUAUUUCGAAAUAAAAAAAAAAAAUCUAUUCGCGUCGGAAAUGAGAGAUUUUUUGUUUCUCCAUACAGAAUUAGUUUCUUCAGAUUCUGACGUAACAAACAAUUUUUAUGAGACAUAAAAACCCCCAUUUAACAUUUAACCCUAAGGAUACAUAAAACAUAUUUUUUACUUUACUAGACUUUUGAACUUAGAACACUAACAGGUUAAAUUUUAGAUUUUUAAGAUUUUUAUUUUAAUAAGUAAAACAAGUCAGUUAAUUCAUUAAAUUAAGGUUUUGUUUAUACCAUGUAUCAAUGUAUCAAUGGCCAACUCUUAGUACAAGGUUCUCUCAGAACAAUUAUUAUUUUAUUUAUUUCAAGCUAUUUCGGAUCUUUCUUAAUCUUCAAAAAGAAAUAAAUUCCGUAAUGGAAUGUUAGGAUGAAAAAAAAAGGAAGUGUGGAAAAAAUGACAAGAAGAUAUUGGAACAUUAAUUUGAAAGAGAUGAUAGAAGCAGGAGUUCAUUUUGGUCAUGGUAUUAAGAAAUGGAAUCCUAAAAUGGCCCCUUACAUUUCGGCAAAGCGUAAAGGUACUCAUAUUAUAAAUCUCGCUAGAACGGCCCGUUUUUUAUCAGAAGCUUGUGAUUUAGUUUUUGAUGCAGCAAGUCAGGGAAAAAGUUUCUUAAUUGUUGGUACCAAAAAAAGAGCAACAGAUUUAGUAGCAUCAGCUGCAAUAAGGGCUCGUUGUCAUUAUGUUAAUAAAAAGUGGUUCAGUGGUAUGUUAACGAAUUGGUCGAUUACGAAAACUAGACUUUCUCAAUUUAGAGACUUAAGAGCGGAA